CUACGGGCGGCUGCAGUGGGGAAUAUUGCACAAUGGGCGCAAGCCUGAUGCAGCCAUGCCGCGUGUAUGAAGAAGGCCUUCGGGUUGUAAAGUACUUUCAGCGGGGAGGAAGGGAGUAAAGUUAAUACCUUUGCUCAUUGACGUUACCCGCAGAAGAAGCACCGGCUAACUCCGUGCCAGCAGCCGCGGUAAUACGGAGGUGUGCAAGCGUUAAUCGGAAUUACUGGGCGUAAAGCGCACGCAGGCGGUUUGUUAAGUCAGAUGUGAAAUCCCCGGGCUCAACCUGGGAACUGCAUCUGAUACUGGCAAGCUUGAGUCUCGUAGAGGGGGGUAGAAUUCCAGGUGUAGCGGUGAAAUGCGUAGAGAUCUGGAGGAAUACCGGUGGCGAAGGCGGCCCCCUGGACGAAGACUGACGCUCAGGUGCGAAAGCGUGGGGAGCAAACAGGAUUAGAUACCCUCGUAGUC
rnacentral:rRNA from 1 species